rnacentral:rRNA from 1 species
GACGAACGCUGGCGGCGUGCUUAACACAUGCAAGUCGAACGAAGUGGCGAACGGGUGAGUAACGUGUAAUCAACCUGCCCUUCAGAGGGGGACAACAGUUGGAAACGACUGCUAAUACCGCAUACUGAAGGAGGUGUUUGCGUCUGAUUAGCUAGUUGGAGGGGUAACGGCCCACCAAGGCGAUGAUCAGUAGCCGGUCUGGGAGGGUGAACGGCCAAAAUGGGACUGGGACACGGCCCAGACUCCUACGGGAGGCAGCAGUGGGGGAUCUUCCGAAAUGGACGGAAGUCUGACGGAGCAACGCCGCGUUAGUGGAGACGGCCUUCGGGUUGUAAAGCUCUGUUAAGCGGGACGCGGUACCGGAAUAGAAAGCCACGGCUAACUACGUGCCAGCAGCCGCGGUAAUUC